GACGAACGCUGGCGGCGUGCUUAACACAUGCAAGUCGAGCGGUAAGGCCCUUUCGGGGGUACACGAGCGGCGAACGGGUGAGUAACACGUGGGUGACCUGCCCUCAGCUCUGGGAUAAGCCCGGGAAAACUGGGUCUAAAUACCGGAUAUGACUCCAUGACGCAUGUUGUGGGGUGGAAAGCCUUGUGCGGCUGAGGAUGGGCCCGCGGCCUAUCAGCUUGUUGGUGGGGUGAUGGCCACCAAGGCGACGACGGGUAGCCGGCCUGAGAGGGCGACCGGCCACACUGGGACUGAGAUACGGCCCAGACUCCUACGGGAGGCAGCAGUGGGGAAUCUUGCGCAAUGGGCGAAAGCCUGAACGCAGCGACGCCGCGUGAGGGAUGACGGCCU
rnacentral:rRNA from 1 species